rnacentral:rRNA from 1 species
GAGUCAAUAACUGCAAGUUCGACGAGAGACCUUCAGGUCUCUAGUGGCGAACGGGUGAGUAACACGUAGGGAACCUGCCCGCGCACCGGGAAUACGCUCUGGAAACGGAGAACAAAUCCCGAUGUACAGGAAGGAGGCAUCUUCUUUCUGUGAAACAUCCUUUAGGGGAUGGGGCGCGGAUGGACCUGCGGUGCAUUAGUUGGUUGGCGGGGUAAAGGCCCACCAAGACGAUGAUGCAUAGCCGGCCUGAGAGGGCGGACGGCCACAUUGGGACUGAGACACGGCCCAGACUCCUGCGGGAGGCAGCAGUAGGGAAUUUUCGUCAAUGGGCGCAAGCCUGAACGAGCGAUGCCGCGUGAGUGAAGAAGGCCUUCGGGUCGUAAAGCUCUGUUGCGGGGGAAAAAAGGCAGCAUCAGGAAAUGGGUGCUGACUGAUGGUGCCCCGCCAGAAAGUCACGGCUAACUACGUGCCAGCAGCCGCGGUAAUACGUAGGUGGCGAGCGUUAUCCGGAACGAUUGGGCGUAAAGGGUGCGCAGGCGGUCCUGCAAGUCUGGAGUGAAACGCAUGAGCUCAACUCAUGCAUGGCUUUGGAAACUGGAGGGCUGGAGAGCAGGAGAGGGCGGUGGAACUCCAUGUGUAGCGGUAAAAUGCGUAGAUAUAUGGAAGAACACCAGUGGCGAAGGCGGCCGCCUGGCCUGUUGCUGACGCUGAGGCACGAAAGCGUGGGGAGCAAAUAGGAUUAGAUACCCUAGUAGUCCACGCCGUAAACGAUGAGGACCAAGUGUUGGGGGUGAAACCUCAGUGCUGAAGUUAACGCAGUGAGUCCUCCGCCUGGGGAGUAUGCACGCAAGUGUGAAACUCAAAGGAAUUGACGGGGGCCCGCACAAGCGGUGGAGUAUG